UGCGUGGGAGGAGUGGAAAAUUCAGGCUAUGUGUUCUUGGCGUGACAGAUUGUCAAUAGCCGGGGUGUUCUGCAUGGAGAGCUGGGAUGAGCUGUUCUGUUUCAGGGCCCAGUCUGUGUGAUGUCACUCAACAGCCCUUGGGACAUCUCCUCAGCCACAGACUGGUUCUGUGAUUGGCCAGCUCCUUGAUUUGAGCCACCCCUGGGAAUCUGGUGUCGCCUUGGGAACCUCUGCAUCAGAAAUCAGGUGUGGAAUCAGUUCUUAGCCGAAUUCCAAGGGAGAGCAAUUGCUGGCCUUACUUCUACAGGAAUGUGGCCCAGCUGACCCCAAAUUUGCCCCCAUUGAUGGUACACUUCUCUCACCUUGGGUAAGCUCUGCCGCCAGCUCACAGUUAGCAUUUGUCAUGUGGAAUGGCUGUCGCCCUGGAAAUUGCAUGUGAAAUCCGGGCAAUAGAACGUGACAGAGUAGAGGACACGACUGUCCAGUGGCUUGAGUCUGGGGUCACUGGUGGAAGAACAGAUGCCAGUGCCACAGCUAUUGGCCAGUGU
ensembl:processed_transcript